UCUUUCUCGGUUGUAUUUACGUCUUGAGAAGACUGUUUCGUUUAUCUCAACAAUCUUCCCAAGACCGCCAAUCUGAACUGGAGCACAUAUUUCAUAA